UAACAUGAUGAUAAAAAGAUUAAUGUUGCUCGAAGAUGAACUUCGAUGUGAGCGCAAAGAUUUCUCAAUAGACUACAACGGUAUCUGAUU
rnacentral:snoRNA from 1 species